UCCUCUACAUAGCUCAAUAGGCAGUGCGUGAGACUCUUGAUCUUAGGGUCUUGGGUUCAAGCCCCAUGUUGGGUGAA